AUGAAAUAAAGCACUUGGAGACUAUUAAGCUCACUACCAGAUGGGAGAUUUAAGGCCCAAAGAAGUGAAGGCACCAGUCCAUGGUCACACAGCAUGUCUGUAGAAGAGGUGGGAACUGAAUUCGCGUUUCCUGGGUCCCAGGCCUGGCCUCCACACGAUGCCUGGGAGGGGUUGUGCAGACCAGUGAGAGAUCUCAAGUCAGCCCCAGGGGGAAUUAGAGAGAGGACCAAGUGAGAGGUCCAUUUCUAGCCCUAACAAAAGGUGACUCAUUCACUUCUGCGUUUGGUUAUUUCAGCACUUUCUCCCCAGAUUUAUAAUAAUAAAUUUAAUAACUCAGAUGAAAUGGAAAAAUAUCUUGGAAGACACCAACUACCAAAGCUUCACUCAGGAAGAAAUAGAUAACAAGAAUAGCCCUGUAUCUGUUAAACAAAUUGAAUUCAUAAUUGAAAACCUUCCAACAAAGGAAACUCCAGGCUCGAAUGGCUUCACUGGUGAAUUCUAAUACCAAGUCAUUUAAGGAAGAAAUAAUACCAAUUCUACACAAACUCUUAGAGAAACUAAAGAAGAGGAAACACUUCCCAAUUAUUUUAUAAGGCCAGAACUCCCUGGUCCUAAAAGCAGACAAAGACAUCCACCUAAAAAAAAAAGCUAUAGUUCAAUAUUCCUUAUGAAUAUAAAUACAAACAGUGUCAGUGAAAUAUUAUCAAA